AUGACUCCAGUCGUCUUCUCAAAUCUCACUUAUAUUCAUACCCUCCCAUAACUCUAAGAUCUAAGAUCUCAAAUCUCUCUCUCGUAUCUGAAGUCUGAAGUCUUAUCUCUCACUCUCAGUCGCGACUUCGCCUAGAAAUCGUGAGUCCCCAAAUCUUGGUCCUCCACAGCCCCGUUCUCCGAACUCACUCCACAUCUUCUUCACUUCUCGCCUUCUGCUCAUCUCCGGUUUUUACUUUUUAGAAUUUAGGUACACAUAUCUUGUUCUUGCUUAUCAAAUACUCUUGAAACUAAAUAUUCCCAUUAUGGGUGUGUGGGUUACUUUUUGUUGGAGUGAUCAUUGCAUAAACCAGUAACUAGUUAGGCUCAUGCUCUUUCAAUUGUGAGUUGGUAAUCCUUUGAUUUUUUGAAUUAGGUCUCACUUUUCUUCCUCUGUUUCUUAAGAACUUUUACUUUUCUUAUGUGAAGAUAUAGAGAUUUAGCAUUUUGCAGGGGGAAUUUUAGGUUUCUUUGUUAAUUUGUUUUUUUAUCUGCGUUUUUGCUUAUCUAUGGUCAUAUUAUUCAUUGAGGAUUUGUUUGUGAAUCAAAUGAUGGAAGAAGAUGAAGAACAUGUUUUGUAACAGAAGUUUUUUAGUGAAAAGUCAUUCAUUUCAGUUAUUAACCGAAUAACCGAAUAGUAAAUUCAGUUAUUCGGUAAUUCUGUUAACAAUUUAGAUAUCAAAAUAGUGUUAAUUUCAAUAUUCGGUUAUAACUGAAUAAGUUAUUCGGUUCGAUUAUAACCGAAUGCUCAGCCCUAUUUUCUAUUC
rnacentral:lncRNA from 1 species